GGAUCCAGACUUUGAUCAUGGCUCAGGAUGAACGCUAGCUACAGGCUUAACACAUGCAAGUCGAGGGGCAGCGGGAUUGAAGCUUGCUUCAAUUGCCGGCGACCGGCGCACGGGUGAGUAACGCGUAUCCAACCUUCCGUACACUCAGGGAUAGCCUUUCGAAAGAAAGAUUAAUACCUGAUGGUAUGAUGAGAUUGCAUGAUAGCAUCAUUAAAGAUUUAUCGGUGUACGAUGGGGAUGCGUUCCAUUAGGUAGUAGGCGGGGUAACGGCCCACCUAGCCGACGAUGGAUAGGGGUUCUGAGAGGAAGGUCCCCCACAUUGGAACUGAGACACGGUCCAAACUCCUACGGGAGGCAGCAGUGAGGAAUAUUGGUCAAUGGACGAGAGUCUGAACCAGCCAAGUAGCGUGAAGGAUGAAGGUCCUACGGAUUGUAAACUUCUUUUAUAAGGGAAUAAACCCUUCCACGUGUGGGAGCUUGUAUGUACCUUAUGAAUAAGCAUCGGCUAACUCCGUGCCAGCAGCCGCGGUAAUACGGAGGAUGCGAGCGUUAUCCGGAUUUAUUGGGUUUAAAGGGAGCGCAGACGGGUCGUUAAGUCAGCUGUGAAAGUUUGGGGCUCAACCUUAAAAUUGCAGUUGAUACUGGCGUCCUUGAGUGCGGUUGAGGUGUGCGGAAUUCGUGGUGUAGCGGUGAAAUGCUUAGAUAUCACGAAGAACUCCGAUUGCGAAGGCAGCACACUAAGCCGUAACUGACGUUCAUGCUCGAAAGUGUGGGUAUCAAACAGGAUUAGAUACCCUGGUAGUCCACACGGUAAACGAUGGAUACUCGCUGUUGGCGAUAUACUGUCAGCGGCUUAGCGAAAGCGUUAAGUAUCCCACCUGGGGAGUACGCCGGCAACGGUGCAACUCAAAGGAAUUGACGG
rnacentral:rRNA from 2 species